GUGCUUGCUUCGGCAGCACAUAUACUAAAAUUGGAAUGAUACAGAGAAGAUUUAGCAUGGCCCCUGCACAACAAGUUUUCAUUAUAUGCUCAAGCGCCAUAUUUUG
rnacentral:snRNA from 1 species